rnacentral:misc_RNA from 1 species
AAGUCGUAACAAGGUUUCCGUAGGUGAACCUGCGGAAGGAUCAUUAGAAAUCACAUGCAUGCAUGCAUCCUGUUGAACCGAAGAACAGCGUCGAGCGGCCACGACCAACGGUGGUCUGGCGAGCGGCGACCGCGCACACUGCAGCAAUGCGACACGAUGGCAGCGCGAAAGCGCAGCACCGCUCCACAGCAAAACACAACAACACAACAACAACUUUUAACAAUGGAUCUCUUGGCUCCU